AUUAGAUAAUUUAUUUUCCUUAUUCAUAUAAAAUAUGCAUAACUACAAGUGUAGGAUAAAAUGGCAAUUUCAUGUAUGAAUUGCUGCUUGUGGAUACCUAAAAUACAAAUAUGUAAAUUGGCACAAUUUCUAUUCUUCAUGGAACUAUUGGUAAUCUAAAAUGACUGAAACAGGCAUACCAAGAGAAUCGUGGACUGCGUG